AACGAACGCUGGCGGCAUGCCUAACACAUGCAAGUCGAACGAGACCUUCGGGUCUAGUGGCGCACGGGUGCGUAACGCGUGGGAACCUGCCCUUAGGUUCGGAAUAACUCCCCGAAAGGGGUGCUAAUACCGGAUAAUGUCUUCGGACCAAAGAUUUAUCGCCUUUGGAUGGGCCCGCGUUGGAUUAGCUAGUUGGUAGGGUAAAAGCCUACCAAGGCGACGAUCCAUAGCUGGUCUGAGAGGAUGAUCAGCCACACUGGGACUGAGACACGGCCCAGACUCCACGGGAGGGAAGCAGGGGGAAUUGUGGAACAUGGGGGGAAGCCCUGACCCACCAUGGCGGGGGGAGGAAGAAGGGCUUUGGGGUUGAAAGCUUUUUUUACCGGGGAGAAUAAUAACAUUCCGGGGAGAAUAAGCCCGGCCAACCCCCGU
rnacentral:rRNA from 1 species